rnacentral:rRNA from 1 species
GGAUUAUUGGGGCGUAAAGGGCUCGCAGGCGGUUUCUUAAGUCUGAUGUGAAAGCCCCCGGCUCAACCGGGGAGGGUCAUUGGAAACUGGGAAACUUGAGUGCAGAAGAGGAGAGUGGAAUUCCACGUGUAGCGGUGAAAUGCGUAGAGAUGUGGAGGAACACCAGUGGCGAAGGCGACUCUCUGGUCUGUAACUGACGCUGAGGAGCGAAAGCGUGGGGAGCGAACAGGAUUAGAUACCCUGGUAGUCCACGCCGUAAACGAUGAGUGCUAAGUGUUAGGGGGUUUCCGCCCCUUAGUGCUGCAGCUAACGCAUUAAGCACUCCGCCUGGGGAGUACGGUCGCAAGACUGAAACUCAAAGGAAUUGACGGGGGCCCGCACAAGCGGUGGAGCAUGUGGUUUAAUUCGAAGCAACGCGAAGAACCUUACCAGGUCUUGACAUCCUCUGACAACCCUAGAGAUAGGGCUUUCCCUUCGGGGACAGAGUGACAGGUGGUGCAUGGUUGUCGUCAGCUCGUGUCGUGAGAUGUUGGGUUAAGUCCCGCAACGAGCGCAACCCUUGAUCUUAGUUGCCAGCAUUCAGUUGGGCACUCUAAGGUGACUGCCGGUGACAAACCGGAGGAAGGUGGGGAUGACGUCAAAUCAUCAUGCCCCUUAUGACCUGGGCUACACACGUGCUACAAUGGACAGAACAAAGGGCUGCAAGACCGCAAGGUUUAGCCAAUCCCAUAAAUCUGUUCUCAGUUCGGAUCGCAGUCUGCAACUCGACUGCGUGAAGCUGGAAUCGCUAGUAAUCGCGG